GCCCCCGUGGUGAAAUGGAUAUCACACAGGCCUCCGGAGCCUGGGGUAGAGGUUCGAUUCCUCUCGGGGGCG
rnacentral:tRNA from 1 species